AGUUUGAUCUAGGCUCAGAUUGAACGCUGGCAGAUCUUUAUGCACCAAGGAGUCGAACGGCAGCACGGACUUCGGUCUGGUGGCGAGUGGCGAACGGGUGAGUAAUGUAUCAGACAUUGCUAGUAGCGGGGAUAACUACGCGAAAGCGCUGCUAUACCGCAUACGCCCUUCGAGGAAAGCGGGGGACACUUCGGGCCUCGCACUAUUAGAGCGGCUGACUCAUCAGUUGGCUAGUUGGUGGGUCAGCGGCUCACCAAGGCGACGAUCCGUAGCUGGUUUGAGCGGACGACCAGCCACACUGGGACUGAGACACGGCCCAGACUCCUACGGGAGGCAGCAGUGGGGAAUUUUGGACAAUGGGGAAACCUGAUCCAGCCAUCCCGCGUGUGCGAUGAAGGCCUUCAGGUUGUAAACACUUUUGGCAGAAAGAAACGGCACGGGAUAAUACCCCGUGCAACUGACAGUACCUGCAGAAUAAGCACCGGCUAACUACGUGCCAGCAGCCGCGGUAAUACGUAGGGUGCAAGCGUUAAUCGGAAUUACUGGGCGUAAGCGAUGCAGGCGGUUCGGAAAGAAAGAUGUGAAAUCCCAGAGCUUAACUUUGGAACUGCAUUUUAACUACCGAGCUAGAGUGUGUCAGAGGAGGUGGAAUUCCCAAUGUAGCAGUGAAAUGCGUAGAUAUGCGGAGGAACACCGAUGGCGAAGGCGGCCUCCUGGGAUAACACUGACGCUCAUGCACGAAAAGCAUUAGAGGCAAACAGGAUUAGAUACCCUGGUAGUCCACAGCCUAAACGAUGUCAACUAGCUGUUGGGGCCUUCGGGCCUUGGUAAAGCCGCAGCUAACGCGUGAAGUUGACCGCCUGGGAGUACGGUGCCAAGAUUAAAACUCAAGGAAUUGACGGGGACCCGCACAAGCGGUGGAUGAUGUGGAUUAAUUCGAUGCAACGCGAAAAAUAUACCUACCUGACAUGUCUGGAAUCCCGAAGAGAUUUGGGUGCUCGCAAGAGAGCCGGAACACAGGUGCUGCAUGGCUGUCGUCAGCUCGUGUCGUGAGAUGUUAGGUUGAAGUCCUGGCGAGCACAACCCUUGUCAUUAGUUGCUACGAAGGCACUCUAAUGAGACUGCCGGUAGCCCGGAAGGUGAGGAUGACGUCAGAGUCUCAUGGCCCUUAUGGGUAGGGCUUCACACGUCAUACAAUGGUCGGGACAGGGGGGUCGCCAACCCCGCGAGGAGCCAAUCCCAGAAACCCGAUCGUGAAGUCCGGAUCCGCAGUCUGCAACUCGACUGCGUGAAGUCGGAAUCGCUAGUAAUCGCGGAUCAGCAUAUCGCGGUGAAUACGUUCCCAGGUCUUGUACACACCGCCCGUCACACCAUGGGAGUGGGUUUACCGUAGUUAGCCUAACCAUGGAGAGGCGAUUACCACGGUAAGUUCAUGACUGAGGUGAAGUCGUAAUGGUGG
rnacentral:rRNA from 1 species